CCAGUCUUCAUUGGAGUCUUCCAGAAGAGUGAUCAUAUCCCCUGGCCUGUAAUUAGAAGAGGGAAAGUGGAUUAAGAUGACUCAAUAGCUAUGCUGCAUCAGCUCCCACAAUUAGCUUCUAAUAGGGAGGCGGUCCUUCCUUGGUCAUUUUAUCUGAGCAUUUACUGCAGGUAGACUCAACGAGGCAGCAAGGUUUUAUUAAAUCAUAUUCAUAAUGUAGGAAAAGAGUCUGUAUAAUGAGGCUAGAUCUUUAUUGGGAGAUGACAUCUUCUAUGAACUAGAAUUUUUAUUUCCUGUUUAAUAAGAAACUGUUUAAAAUACAGUCUCUAUUUGUUACAGGCAUUGUAUUGUUAUUUCAAGACAUUUCCCAUUGUUGGGACACACUACUUUAUCAUCUGUGUUUUCAAGCUGUGAUUGCAGAAGAAAGGCAGCAGAGCAAUGAGAAGCUGCAGCUGGGAACACCAAAAAGGCUUUCUGUGAAGGAGGUGCUGACAACAGGGACAUUUCUCUGGCAACUUCCUACAUUCUGUGGCAUGUGCAUGUUUAUUUUUAUGCAGGGGAUGCCUUGAAGAGAGUUGACACAUUUAAAGUCAACAGCUCUAGCAAGGUCCUGCAAAAUGUGAGGAGCAUGAGUCAAGCUAAUUGUACCCAAAGGAAAGAUGGCCUUGCACUUCAGCAGGUUUGGAUUACACCUUGCAGCAACUGGUGCAGAACUGAGGCAGGAAGUGUUAAAAAUGAUAAUUAACAAGGUUAUUUUGCAAAGCUUAGAAUGCAUCUUUCUGGUGAAAACAUUGCCAUCCAGCAGCUGGACAUCAUUUUUUUAAAUUUAUUUUUUUCUCAGAUAUAAUAUGAAUAUGAGGGAAAAUUAAACAGGACUAUUAAAAUGUUCAUCAUUAGCAUGAGAACUGGUGAGGAAUUCCUAGUUGAAAACUUCUGUUUGAAAAAAAAAAAAAAAGGUAACUGAAAACUGAAUGUUUUCUAGCUGAAAGCCAUCUUCCUCCUGAAGUGAUGUAGGUGUCCUUGAAACAUUUUAUCUGUUGUGUCCUUGCCAAAAAAUUGGUCGCCAGCUUUGCUUCUAUGAGAAUGUGAGUGGUUUCUAUGAGUUUCUAUAUUAAAAAAAUGUCUAGAACAAAUGUCAGAAUAAAUUCUCCCUUCUUCCAAACACCCUUUUUCCCCUAUCACCUCCCUAAGUCAUAUGUAACCAUAUAAGUAUCAGUUUGCUUGGGUCAAAUCAACUAAUAAAUAUUUUGGGACUUUACCUCA